UAAUACAUCGGAACGUGCCCUGUAGUGGGGAUAACUAGUCGAAAGAUUAGCUAAUACCGCAUACGACCUGAGGGUGAAAGUGGGGGACCGCAAGGCCUCAUGCUAUAGGAGCGGCCGAUGUCUGAUUAGCUAGUUGGUGAGGUAAAGGCUCACCAAGGCGACGAUCAGUAGCUGGUCUGAGAGGACGAUCAGCCACACUGGGACUGAGACACGGCCCAG
rnacentral:rRNA from 1 species